GCGCGAGUAGCUGAGUGGUUAGUGCGUUGGACUGAUGGUAUGAAGAUCGCUGGUUCGGACCCCGGCUGGUGCG